UAUUAAAAAUACUGAAUUUUAAAAAUUUUAAAAGCCUACUUUUUAAACCUCCUCCAAAUACGAUUGCAACCCGUCGCCCAACCCUAGCCCACCCAUCCCUUGUAGCUCUCUGCAACCGGCGAUCCCCAACCCUCACCUCAUCCCUGUGUAGCUCAUUGGUUCCACGACCUUCUCAAGGUAAUUUCUUCAUUCUCCUCCUCCAUCGCUCUCCAUCCGAGACUACACAGUUGGAAAGACUCUCCACUUUCAUUCGACAUCGUUGUUUUUUUUUUUUUCUUCUUAAUGUUUGAUUGUCUUAAAAUGUUAGUUAGGGUUUUGGGUUUUAGGAUUUCAAUAGAGCAGUCCAGUCUCAUUUCCCAGUACUUCUCUCUCUAAAACUCUCAUUCUCUAUUCUGGUUCACAUAUGCAAGUGCUCUGUUUAGGGUUUUGAGUUCACGUGUUGCAGGGCCGUUUCUUUUUUAAGGAAGAAAAACUUUGUUUGGUGAUAUCUUGUUAUUUAGAGCCCGUUUGAUAUGGUUGUUGUCUCAUUGUUAUUAGGAUUUUGUGGUUUGUUUGAUUGUUGUGAUUUUUGUGGUUUGUUGGGUUAUUAGGAUUUUAUGGUUUGUUUGAUUGUUGAAACCUAAAGGAAAAUAUAAGAAAAUUUUGGGUUUAAUCUUAUUGAUUUCAUAUUAUAGUUUGUUGGGUAGAGCAUUUGGGCCCAAACUGUUUGUUAGGAUGCCCAUGAGAGUUCUUAAAUCAUGUGGAAUACCCCCCUCCAAAUGAUUGAACGCCACUGAAAGCUGCUGAAGAGAUGAAAGGUUUCCCAAAGUAAAUGGGAUAACCCCUGUUAGACUGUUCCGCCCAAACCUCAGAAUUAGCAGUUUCGACAUAUGGCCAAAGUGGAAGGGAAUCUGCCCCGUCAGAUUGUUCCUUGUCAAGUACUAGCAUAGACACUGCCCCAAGAGAGGUGUUUGAUUAAUUGGGCUUGCAUUUGUUUGCCCUCUUGGAGAGCCAAGGCUUGGGCACAUGAAGUGAGCACAAAACAGAAAGUGUACUCAUUGGGAUAUAGGCCUUAGUGGAGCAGCUUGUGGUAAAAGUGGAGGGAAUCAAGUGGAUGUGAAGUUUGUGAAAAGGCCUUAAUCAUAAUGUUGUAUGAGUAUACAUCAGGGCUUUGUAUUUGCGAAAAUACAACAUAAGCCAGGUGAAUGUUUGGAGGACUCAAAGAGAAUGAACUAGCUACAAGUAAUCUGGUAACCGGAAAAGCAUCACGGGACAUGCCAGUGGUGAUCAUUAGGCAAUGUAUUUGAUUGAAAUGGGCCAUGGUUUGGCAUUUUGAUAGUAAGGAUAAAACAGGGUGGUCUAGAUUUAGGGGAGCACUAGCAAGAUUUUUGGCAUCCUGGAUGUUGGGGGGUUUUUUGAGUCCUCUUCGUAAGGUUGCAGGGGUUUGGAUCAUCCAAAAAUGGCUCCUGCACUUGCCUACUGCAUUGGAGCUAUGCAUCAUCCUGUCCUGAUGUGAAAUAGUUUAGAAGGAUCAGCCUAUCCUGAGCAGCAUGGGCUUUUCUAUACAGACCAUCUGAAUAAGCAACCGCAGUAGCCUUAAUUAGAUAUAUUCAUUUAGGGUCGUGCAGUCCCAUUGUGACAAAGUUUAAUACGUGUCAUUAACAAUUAGAAACCAAUACAUUUUUUAUGGGUUUAGGAUGGGUGUAAUCAUAUUCGGAUCAAAUUUGGAUUGCCCACGUAAUCUAUAUAAGAAGUAGGAAACUUUUGGAUCAACCCACAUAAUACGAAAUUUGAUGGAAUCAGUCCAUUUAAUAAUCAUAUUGAUUAAUCUAAUUACAAUUUUAAACUAUUUAACCAUAUUUUACUCAUUUUAAAUUUGAUUUAAAUAAAUAAAUCAAUUGAAUUAUAAACAUAUCUGGUUUGAACAAAAAUAUCUCAGAUUGAGAUGCUGCAACCGUCGCAAAAGACCAAUGUUAGUGGGGAUAGAACCCUGCAAGUUAUUGUUAGACAACACCAACUCUCCAAGGAAUGUUAAGUUCCCAAUAGGAGGUAAGGAACCAGUUAAGCUCUGACCCUCUGAUGUCUCCGACUGCAUGUAACCCCCUGCCACUGGCAGAAAUGCAGAGAGUCGUUCCAGGAACUCAGUGCUCCAUGUGGAACAUCAACCAGAUGAUUCUUGAAGACAAGCAAUGCAAGCUGAAAAUAAUCUGAAAACAACAGGAAAAUAGUUUUCUGUUUUCACUGUUUUUAAAAACAGUUUCCAAAGUGGCUUUAUUUUCAAGAACAAAAUUUUAUUUGGAACUCACAUAUGAAAAACAAAUUGUCCACUUUAUUUUUAAUGAAGGGUGCUAUACACUUACUAUUUAUAAUACAAAAGUUCAAAAUUUGGGCCGGCCCAGGACCAGGCCCAGCCCAUAUUACCUGACUGAACUCAUAUACCAUCCCUCCAAACUCUGCGUCUUGGUCGAUACCCAUGGAAGGUGCCGCGAUCGCUAUUUACACAACCUCCAAAUGCUGCGCCUCAGUCGAUUUCUAAGUUCAAGGUACUUGUGAUAUAAUGGGUGGUCUUCCUACUGAACAGCCCGCCUCUGCCUUAACUUUGGCAGGGUUGCAGCAAACGCGGGGAUCUGAGCCUGUGUCGAAGCCCAAAAAGAAAAUCUGCUGUGCCUGCCCUGAUACUAAGAAGAUCCGAGACGAUUGCAUUGUGGAGCAUGGUGAAGCUGCUUGUGAAAAAUGGAUUGAAGCUCAUCGUAGAUGCCUUCGGGCUGAGGGGUUCAAAGUUUGAAAUUUGGCAAAAGAUUGCAGAUUUGAUAAACUGAAAAUGAAAAAGUUUUGAUACCCAAAUUGUUUACAUCAGGAUUUUACUUAAAUGGUCAGACUUGUCAAUGAAACUUCAGGUUCAGGAAUAAAGCCAUGCUGGGGAACUUUGUUUACUGUUACAUUGAAAUAAUUGAUUACUAAUUUAUUCUUAACUAUAGGGGUUGUUCCCCCUUACAGAAA